AUUAUGAUGAUAUUUAUUUGGUCCGUGUUUAUGAUUUCUUUGAUUAAAACAUAUGUCCAUUUUUGCUGAUACAG
rnacentral:snoRNA from 1 species